rnacentral:sRNA from 2 species
UUGGGGAGUAGCCGGCUUCCGCCCCGUUCGGAAGCGCCUGCGUCAACACACUCGGCAUCUCGCAUGCCGUGGCGCUGGCAACCGUUGCACGGUUGGCGAGACCAUGGGCAUGGCCCCGCGACGCAGGUCGGGCAGCGGGGCCGUGCCCUUGUGCUCUUGCCCGGCCG